rnacentral:rRNA from 1 species
UAGGGAAUCUUCCGCAAUGGACGCAAGCCUGACGGAGCAACGCCGCGUGAGUGAAGAAGGAUUUCGGUUCGUAAAACUCUGUUGUUAGAGAAGAACAGCGCAUAGAGUAACUGUUAUGCGUGUGACGGUAUCUAACCAGAAAGCCACGGCUAACUACGUGCCAGCAGCCGCGGUAAUACGUAGGUGGCAAGCGUUGUCCGGAUUUAUUGGGCGUAAAGCGAGCGCAGGCGGUCAAUUAAGUCUGAUGUGAAAGCCCCCGGCUCAACCGGGGGGGGUCAUUGGAAACUGGUUGGCUUGAGUGCGGAAGAGGAGAGUGGAAUUCCAUGUGUAGCGGUGAAAUGCAUAGAUAUAUGGAGGAACACCGGUGGCGAAGGCGACUCUCUGGUCUGUAACUGACGCUGAGGCUCGAAAGCGUGGGUAGCAAACAGG